AAAUUUAUAGAAUAAAUAAUCUACAAAGAAAAUAAUAAUAAGUAAGAAUAAAAAGAAUUAGAAUAUAAAAAUAAAGAAAAAGUAUAAUAAAAUAUUACUUUGGAUAGUUUAGUUUCCUGGGCGAUGAAGAACGCAAUGAAUUGCGAUAAGUGAUAGGAACAAUAAAAUGUGAAUAUCCAAAAUUUGAAUGCUUGAAAGUAUACUUAUGAACUUCAAGGUAUAUAUGAUAUUCA
rnacentral:rRNA from 1 species